rfam:Megamonas hypermegale ART12/1 draft genome.
UAAAAGACAAUGAAAAAGAGAGUAUAGAUAUAAUUGAGUUGUGCAGAGAGAAAAUUUAUAGCUGAAAAAUUUUCCAACCCAGUAUCUAGAAAGUAGCUUUGGAGUCCUCAUACCGAAAUAAUAUUAAGUAUGAGCGCAGAUACAGCGUUAUGUAAUGAAGUUUUAUCUGAAUUUUAUGUAGUUGAUUUAUAAAUUUAGAUAAGAAAAAUUAGGUGGUACCGCGAAGAUAUCUCUUUCGUCCUUUUA